rnacentral:lncRNA from 1 species
AUUGUAUCUCCUUCUAUCCUAGAAUUCAACAAAACUAGUUUUUUCGUCAUUAUUUGAACUAAGAAGUAGAUUAAUCAUUAAUGUCUAUGUUAAUUCUAUCCCUUUUUCUAGCUUUCCCGACUUUCCUUUCUAGCUCAGGUCCUUAUUUCCUCUCUUUCAGCCAGAUUCCCAUUCCAUCAGGAAUCCAAAUGAGACUCAGAACAAUAGCACAAGCUGGCCUGUCUUCAAAAGCACUGAACAAAAAUAUCUAACCUUGAAUACAGAGUCAACAAGAAUAAUGACGAAACUACGUGCUCAACAAUGUCGAUUCUGGACAUCAUUUUUUCCAAAAGUCUUGGAAAUGACAGGAAAUAUUGAUGAAGCAGAAUGGGAGUGGAAAGCAGGAUUCCAUCGCUGGAACAAUUACAUGAUGGACUGGAAAAAUCAAUUUAACGAUUACACUAGCAAGAAAGAAAGUUGUGUGGGUCUCUAAUUAAUAGAUUUACCCUUUAUAGAACAUAUUUUCCUUUAGAUCAAGGCAAAAAUAUCAGGAGCUUUUUUACACACCUACUAAAAAAGUUAUUAUGUAGCUGAAACAAAAAUGCCAGAAGGAUAAUAUUGAUUCCUCACAUCUUUAACUUAGUAUUUUACCUAGCAUUUCAAAACCCAAAUGGCUAGAACGUGUUUAAUUAAAUUUCACAAUAUAAAGUUCUACAGUUAAUUAUGUGCAUAUUAAAACAAUGGCCUGGUUCAAUUUCUUUCUUUCCUUAAUAAAUUUAAGUUUUUCCCCCCAAAA